rnacentral:rRNA from 1 species
GACGAACGCUGGCGGCGUGCCUAAUACAUGCAAGUAGAACACUGAAGGAGGAGCUUGCUUCUCUGGAUGAGUUGCGAACGGGUGAGUAACGCGUAGGUAACCUGCCUGGUAGCGGGGGAUAACUAUUGGAAACGAUAGCUAAUACCGCAUAAGAGUAGAUGUUGCAUGACAUUUGCUUAAAAGGUGCAAUUGCAUCACUACCAGAUGGACCUGCGUUGUAUUAGCUAGUUGGUGGGGUAACGGCUCACCAAGGCGACGAUACAUAGCCGACCUGAGAGGGUGAUCGGCCACACUGGGACUGAGACACGGCCCAGACUCCUACGGGAGGCAGCAGUAGGGAAUCUUCGGCAAUAGACGGAAGUCUGACCGAGCAACGCCGCGUGAGUGAAGAAGGUUUUCGGAUCGUAAAGCUCUGUUGUAAGAGAAGAACGAGUGUGAGAGUGGAAAGUUCACACUGUGACGGUAUCUUACCAGAAAGGGACGGCUAACUACGUG